rnacentral:rRNA from 1 species
GACGAACGCUGGCGGCGUGCUUAACACAUGCAAGUCGAGCGGAAAGGCCCUUCGGGGUACUCGAGCGGCGAACGGGUGAGUAACACGUGAGUAACCUGCCCUAGGCUUUGGGAUAACCCCGGGAAACCGGGGCUAAUACCGGAUAUGACCUGGUGCCGCAUGGUGUCGGGUGGAAAGUUUUUUCGGCCUGGGAUGGGCUCGCGGCCUAUCAGCUUGUUGGUGGGGUGAUGGCCUACCAAGGCGAUGACGGGUAGCCGGCCUGAGAGGGCGACCGGCCACACUGGGACUGAGACACGGCCCAGACUCCUACGGGAGGCAGCAGUGGGGAAUAUUGCACAAUGGGCGGAAGCCUGAUGCAGCGACGCCGUGUGAGGGAUGAAGGCCUUCGGGUUGUAAACCUCUUUCAGCAGGGACGAAGCGUGAGUGACGGUACCUGCAGAAGAAGCGCCGGCCAACUACGUG